UCAUGCCAAUGGCACUGCCCGGUAGCUAAAUGCGGAAAAGAUAAGUGCUGAAAGCAUCUAAGCACGAAACUUGCCCCGAGAUGAGUUCUCCCUGAGACUUUAAGUCUCCUGAAGGAACGUUGAAGACGACGACGUUGAUAGGUCGGGUGUGUAAGCGCAGCGAUGCGUUGAGCUAACCGAUACUAAUGAACCGUGAGGCUU
rnacentral:rRNA from 1 species